UCGGGAAUAUUGCGCAAUGGAGGAAACUCUGACGCAGUGACGCCGCGUAUAGGAAGAAGGUUUUCGGAUUGUAAACUAUUGUCGUGAGGGAAGAAAUUUGACAGUACCUCAGGAGGAAGCUCCGGCUAACUAUGUGCCAGCAGCCGCGGUAAUACAUAGGGAGCAAGCGUUAUCCGGAUUUAUUGGGUGUAAAGGGUGCGUAGACGGAGAAGCAAGUUGGUUGUGAAAUCCCUCGGCUCAACUGAGGAACUGCAACCAAAACUACUUCCCUUGAGUGUCGGAGAGGAAAGUGGAAUUCCUAGUGUAGCGGUGAAAUGCGUAGAUAUUAGGAGGAACACCAGUGGCGAAGGCGACUUUCUGGACGAUAACUGACGUUGAGGCACGAAAGUGUGGGGAGCAAACAGG
rnacentral:rRNA from 1 species